AUUGAACGCUGGCGGCAGGCUUAACACAUGCAAGUCGAGCGGGGUGAUGGUGCUUGCACUAUCACUUAGCGGCGGACGGGUGAGUGAUGCUCAGGAAUCUGCCUAUUAGUGGGGGACAACAUCUCGAAAGGGAUGCUAAUACCGCAUACGUCCUACGGGAGAAAGCAGGGGAUCACUUGUGACCUUGCGCUAAUAGAUGAGCCUAAGUCGGAUUAGCUAGUUGGUGGGGUAAAGGCCUACCAAGGCGACGAUCUGUAGCGGGUCUGAGAGGAUGAUCCGCCACACUGGGACUGAGGCACGGCCCAGACUCCUACGGGAGGCAGCAGUGGGGAAUAUUGGACAAUGGGCGGAAGCCUGAUCCAGCCAUGCCGCGUGUGUGAAGAAGGCCUUAUGGUUGUAAAGCACUUUAAGCGAGGAGGAGGCUACUUUAGUUAAUACCUAGAGAUAGUGGACGUUACUCGCAGAAUAAGCACCGGCUAACUCUGUGCCAGCAGCCGCAGUAACAC
rnacentral:rRNA from 1 species